rnacentral:rRNA from 1 species
GUCCACGCCCUAAACUAUGGAUACUCGACAUCAGCGAUACACUGUUGGUGUCUGAGCGAAAGCAUUAAGUAUCCCACCUGGGAAGUACGACCGCAAGGUUGAAACUCAAAGGAAUUGGCGGGGUCCGCACAAGCGGUGGAGCAUGUGGUUUAAUUCGAUGAUACGCGAGGAACCUUACCUGGGCUAGAAUGCAUUUUGACCGCAGGUGAAAGCUUGCUUUGUAGCAAUACACAAUUUGUAAGGUGCUGCAUGGCUGUCGU